CCCUUAGAUGUUCUCGGCCGCACACGCGCUACACUGAAAGAGGCAACGUGUUUGCCUGAUUCGAAAGAAUUGGGUAACCCCCUAAUCUCUUUCGUGCUGGGGAUUGAGGUUUGCAAUUAUCCUUCAUGAACGAGGAAUUCCCAGUAAGUGCGAGUCAUUAUCUCGCGCCGACUACGUCCCUGCCCUUUGUACACACCGCCCGUCGCUACUACCGAUUGAAUGAUUUAGUGAGGACUUCGGACUGAGUCCAAUGCGGCUUUCGGGCUGCGUUGGUAUUUCGGAAAGAUGUCCAAACUGUAUCAUUUAGAGGAAGUAAAAGUCGUAACA
rnacentral:rRNA from 1 species